CAGUGGUAGCGCACUUCCCUGAC
rnacentral:sRNA from 1 species